rnacentral:misc_RNA from 1 species
AUUCAAGGUAUCCCUCAACAUGCUCCAGCCUCAAGAAGUCACCAUGCUUCUUAUCUUCUGCUUCAAUAGCUCUGUCAAGGAUACCACCUGCCGUAGCACUGUGACCUAUUACAAAGCGAAUUAUGAUUCCCUUCUCUUCCUCAAGCUUCUUUCUUUUAUCACCUUGGGGCAUCCAAGUAGCACGAACUGAAUCUCUUCGCUUUCGGCUGCUAAAAGCAGUAUUUAUGCCUACAACCAUUAAAUACUUUCUUUUUCCACUUGACUGAGCGAUUCUAAAAUUGUCUGACACUGGUGAACCAUUCAGUAUUGAUUCCUGUGCAGCCCUUGCAGCAGCUAACUCCAUUUCCAAAUUCGAUAUUGUUUUAUCUAGAGUUUGUAUAGCAUGAUGUGUCUUUGAAACUUCUCCCAUGAUGUCCUUGGAUUCAUGAUGCUUUACAUCCUUAGUUUCUGUAGCACAUCCCUCUGAAACUAGCUUUAACUUUUCAUCUUCAACCCUUGUUGUCCUUGAUAUACCUUUAACUUCAGGCACAGCCCACAUUCUGUCCGAGAAUAACAUCCCAGCACAGAAGCAACCAAUACAAAGCAGAAGACUCCAUUUCCUUGAAAUCACACUCUUUGCAGAUGUAUCUACUCCUCUAUUCCUCCAAGUCAUCAUGGUAACUUGCACUUUGAGACAAAUCACAAGCUAAAACGAAACAAAACCCAUCUCAAUCCCAAGUCAAUGCACUGAAUUGACUCCGACCCAGAUCCAAAAGAACCCUUCUUUACUUCAAAAUCAACGCCAACUUAGUCCCCAGAAACCUCUAUGUGCACAAAUUUAAAGCAACAGAAGAUAGCAAAGAGAAAUAUAAAAAGAGCAAGAAUCAACAACUGCUAAAUUCACACACGCUACACAGGCAAAGAGACAAGCAAACACGCACAUCCAGAUGUAUAUAAAGACUAAUGCUUUUUAUCUAAAACAUCUGUCUCUCACAAGAAAGCGAAGGCUUUGCCACUUGGAUUUUG